rnacentral:rRNA from 1 species
AUUGAACGCUGGCGGCAUGCCUUACACAUGCAAGUCGAACGGCAGCACGGGAGCAAUCCUGGUGGCGAGUGGCGAACGGGUGAGUAAUAUAUCGGAACGUGCCCAGUCGUGGGGGAUAACGUAGCGAAAGCUACGCUAAUACCGCAUACGAUCUAUGGAUGAAAGCGGGGGAUCGCAAGACCUCGCGCGAUUGGAGCGGCCGAUAUCAGAUUAGGUAGUUGGUGAGGUAAAGGCUCACCAAGCCGACGAUCUGUAGCUGGUCUGAGAGGACGACCAGCCACACUGGGACUGAGACACGGCCCAGACUCCUACGGGAGGCAGCAGUGGGGAAUUUUUGGACAAUGGGCGCAAGCCUGAUCCAGCAAUGCCGCGUGCAGGAUGAGGGCC